AACCUCCGCAAUGUGAGAAAUCGCGACGGGGGGAUCCCAAGUGCCAUUCUUAACGGGAUGGCUUUUCAUUAGUGUAAAGAGCUUUUGGAAUAAGAGCUGGGCAAGACCGGUGCCAGCCGCCGCGGUAACACCGGCAGCUCUAGUGGUAGCAAUUUUUAUUGGGCCUAAAGCGUCCGUAGCCGGUUUAAUAAGUCUCUGGUGAAAUCCUGCAGCUUAACUGUGGGAAUUGCUGGAGAUACUAUUAGACUUGAGACCGGGAGAGGUUGGAGGUACUCCCAGGGUAGAGGUGAAAUUCUGUAAUCCUGGGAGGACCGCCUGUUGCGAAGGCGUCUAACUGGAACGGCUCUGACGGUGAGGGACGAAAGUUAGGGGCGCGAACCGGAUUAGAUACCCGGGUAGUCCUAACUGUAAACGAUGCGGACUUGGUGUUGGGGUGGCUUUGAGCUGCUCCAGUGCCGAAGGGAAGCUGUUAAGUCCGCCGCCUGGGAAGUACGGUCGCAAGACUGAAACUUAAAGGAAUU
rnacentral:rRNA from 1 species